rnacentral:lncRNA from 1 species
CUAUACAUGUGAAUACAUUAUAUAGUCCUUUGGGACUGGUGUUUUGCUUUUGUCAUUUGGCAUACUUCCUUUGGGAUUCAUUUAAAUUGUCAUGUGUAUCAGUUAUUUGUUCCUUUUUAUUGCUGACUAGCAUUAAGUCCCUUUCUUGUGACUGUAUCGUAUAGUCUGCAUCGUUACAAAAACUUACUUACAAGGUCUCUAUUAUUGGGUACUCCUGCUGUCUUUUGCUGUUAUAAAUUGUGAAUUUCCUAUAUACUCAAUCCCUCUGCCUUCCUGCACCUACUUAAUUUCUAGCAAUGAAGGAACAAUAUCAGUGGUAUCUUUGCACAGACAUCCUCAAAGGUUGGCACUCAUGCAAGCACAUCGCCGUGGUGAACUGCUAUGAAGAAGUCAUGACUAUAAUGAGGUGACAACGGCAGACUUUUUCCUAGAGAACCCUUCAUGAUUGAAUUGUGAGAAAGCAAGGAAUCGGGGUGUACCAUGGAGAACCAGAAUGGCCAGAGACUCCUGAUUCAUACUUUAUCUGAGAGUUGAGACCUUAGGCCACUGUCCUUGGGGCCUGGAUAUUUAUAUGCACCUGUACCUCAAGGAGUAAACCUGACAGUUCUGUGGUCCAUUGCUUUCACAUCUGACCAAAAGUCAGGAGGCGUGCUGCAGUGAUGGAUGGCAUUCCAGCGGUAUUUUGCAUUUGAGAUUCCACAGGGAACCUGGAAACUUAGUGCUUUUAUGAUGGAUCACAAACUGAUGUAAAAUUGACAGGUGACACCUGAGGCAGAGGUUACUGAUUGUGGUGCACCGGAUAUCACGGGUUUCUCUGUGUACCUGGCUAUCCUGGGACUUGAUUUGAAGGCCAGGGUGGAACUCAAAGAGAUUGGCCUGCCUCUACUUACUGAGUGCUGGAAUUAAAGGUCUGUGCCACCAUUGCCCAGCAGAAAUCUGGAUUUUUAUGUGAAGGUAGGGGUGGUUUUGUUUGUUUUGUUUUUGUUUUUCAAAAUAACAAGGAAACUUCUAGAAGCAAAAGAGAUCACACAUGCCAGGAGGUCGAGACCAUCGUGGUCUACAAGAGCUAG